rfam:Stegodyphus mimosarum contig78162, whole genome shotgun sequence.
GCCUUCGUGGUGUAGUGGUCAGUAUGCUCGACACUUAUUCGAGAGGUCCGUGGUUCGAAUCCCGGCGAGGGCA